rnacentral:rRNA from 1 species
AUUGAACGCUGGCGGAAUGCCUAACACAUGCAAGUCGAGCGGGGGUAGCAAUACUUCAGCGGCGGACGGGUGAGGAACACAUAGGAAUCUACCUUUAGGUGGGGGAUAGCCAGGGGAAACUCUGGGUAAUACCGCAUGAUCUCGAGAGAGCAAAGGGGCGCAAGUCUCGCCUUUAGAGGAGCCUAUGUCUGAUUAGCUAGUUGGCGGUGUAAUGGACCACCAAGGCGAUGAUCAGUAACUGGUCUGAGAGGACGAUCAGUCACACCGGAACUGAGACACGGUCCGGACUCCUACGGGAGGCAGCAGUGGGGAAUAUUGGACAAUGGGCGAAAGCCUGAUCCAGCAAUUCCGCGUGUGUGAAGAAGGUCUUCGGAUUGUAAAGCACUUUAAGUUGGAGGAAGGGUACUUACCUAAUACGUGAGUAUUUUGACGUUACCGACAGAAUAAGCACCGGCUAACGCUAUGCCAGCAGCCGCAGUAACAC